AUCCCUUGACGACAAUGAUUCACUUUCGCUAACAUGAGCAACACCAGAGGCAAACUGAUCGCACGUCAUGUCAAAUCAAUCCACGGAAAGGAGUUCAGACACAUUUAUCUUCUGCUUGUUGACACUAUAGACCGUAAGGUGAGGUAAAACCGUUAGCUUCUGUUAGCAUCAAACCAAUGUAGCUAAAUCGUUAGUUUCCGUUAGCAUACUACAUCGGCAGGCUACGUACAUUUUCAUAUUAGAUCCUGUCCAUCAAUAUGAUCAACGAGUGGAGCAGAAACUCACCAUAACUGUACUACAAAGGUUCAUACAACAAUGAACCUAUGGAAAACUGUGGGGAUUAUUAAGACACAUACUUGCACUCUGUCCAUGACUGUCCCAGCUGCCACCAUGCCCAGGCCAGACACCAGGUAUGGAAGCAGGACUUGCGCUGCAAUGGUCCAUGAGCUCUCAGGCAGGACGCCGUGGGCUGAGCGGGUCACUUUGCACGUGAAGCCCCUCAGCUUAUUCCCCCGGAAACACAGCUCCAAGGCCAGAUAGGUCACCACCAUGGCUGAUCCGUGUUAACCCAUUCCUGUCUGGAAAGUGUUGGUGUUGAACAGCAAGUCUCCUUCAAAGCUUGUAGUUGAAUAGUCCAGUGGGUUUGAGAAGAAUGUGACCAUCCAUGCAGAGAACACAGUCCUCUUUUUCUGACUUCUCCCAGGUUGCUUUCACCUCACUCCGGGCUCUCCCACAGUCACAGAUGUUGCUGAAACUGUUUUUCCAUAAAGUAGUUUUCAAAAUAAAGUCCGACAGAAGAGAGAGAGCUAUUCAACAAGUCUGUUCGC